CAGUAGCCGCGGUAAUACAGAGGGUGCAAGCGUUAAUCGGAAUUACUGGGCGUAAAGCGUGCGUAGGCGGUGAGUUAAGUCUGCUGUGAAAUCCCCGGGCUCAACCUGGGAAUGGCAGUGGAUACUGGCUCGCUAGAGUGUGUCAGAGGAUGGUGGAAUUCCCGGUGUAGCGGUGAAAUGCGUAGAGAUCGGGAGGAACAUCAGUGGCGAAGGCGGCCAUCUGGGACAACACUGACGCUGAGGCACGAAAGCGUGGGGAGCAAACAGGAUUAGAUACCCGAGUAGUCCCUGUCUCUUAUAC
rnacentral:rRNA from 1 species